UUGAUUCAUUUUUCUUUCAGGAAAACAUUCCCUCCAAUACUUCUACACAGCAACAUCAGGCUUACCAAAUUUUCCACAGUUUGUGUCAGUAGGGCUUGUAGAUGAACAGCCUUUCACAUAUUAUGACAGUAACAUUCGCAGAGAGACUCCCAGGCAAGACUGGAUGGCUAAAUCUGAGGGAGACGACUACUGGGAGCGACAGACUCAGAUCCUGACUGGCACAGAGCAGAGCUUCAAGAACAACAUCAAUGUUGUCAAAGAACGCUUUAAUCAGACUGGAGGUGUGCACAUACUUCAGGAAAUGUACGGCUGUGAAUGGGAUGAUCAGACUGGAGAAACAGAUGGGUUCCGCCAGGAAGGUUAUGAUGGAGAGGACUUUCUGUCUCUGGAUUUGAAGGAUAAAAGAUGGAUUUCCCCAGUGCAGCAAGGAUUUCCCAGCGCACAGAAAUUGAACAAUUACAGAGCUAAUCUUGAGGGUAAUAAACAUUACUUCAGCACUGUGUGUAUUGAGUGGCUGAAGAAAUAUCUGGAGUAUGGAAAGAGCAGCCUGCAGAAAACAGUUUCUCCUCAGGUGUCUCUGUUGCAAAAGGAUCCCUCCUCUCCAGUGACGUGUCAUGCUACAGGUUUUUACCCCAGUGGAGUAACAAUCACCUGGAUGAAAAAUGGACAAGAGCAUCAUGAGGAUGUGGAUCUUGGUGAACUUCUUCCUAAUGAGGACGGAACCUUCCAGAGGACGAGCACCAUCAGAGUUACACCUGAUGAGUGGAAGAAGAACAGGUUCAGCUGUGUGGUGGAACAUCAGGGCAAAACCGUGACAGAGAAAAAGAUCAGGACCAACAAAGAAACAUCUGUUCCCAUUGCCAUCAUUGUUGGUGCUGUCACUGCUGUCACUGCUGUCAUCCUGUUGGUUGUCAUUGGUGUUGCUGGGUUUAUGGUGUAUCGGAAGAAAAAAGGCUUCAAACCUGUCAAGCCCUCUGAUGAUUCCUCUAGUCAAAGAAGCACCAACACCCUAAUAUCUUCUGGCAGUGGAUCUAGCACCUCAAGUUAGACAUCUCAUGGCCUUAUAUAUGUCACAACGUGACUGAGAGAACUGAUCCUGACAAAUAAUGUCCAGCCUUCUGCCAUAGAUCUCUCAGAGAGACGAACACAAACACAUUCUCUUCUUCUCUCUUUCUCUCUCUCUCUGACAUGUCAUAACAUGUCAUUGUUUUUUUUUUUAGUUGUUUUUUUUUUUUACUUAUUAUCCAGUGCUAAAAAGUCUUUUCUUUCUUAAAAAGACUAAACUGUGGCACCAGAAAUAAGAUGAAACAGUGCAAAAACAAAUCAUUUUCAGUCAAAUACAGGUUAAAACCAUAUUAAACAGCCCUAAUAUUCUAUACAGAAUUAACAUGCACAAGCAAACAUACAAUAAAAGGCUUUUCAAUUCACAUAUCACUAAUCUUACAAACAUUGAUCUCACAUUUACUUUGAUAACACAAACUGUAGGUGCAUUGGUUUUGGGCAAAAAAUAUUGUAAGUUCACACUUAUUUUAUUCUAUUAUAUUGUAUUUUAUUACCCCUGUGAUGGACUGGCCAUCUGUCCAGAGUCAGGAGAGCACUUUAAUAAUGAGAUGUGAAUUUGGGUUGUGCAUUUUGCAACGUCCCCUGUUGCUUAAAAACAAUUAUUUUCACAUUAUAAUUAAAAUUAGAAAAAAAACUUUAUUCAUUUAAAUUUAUCCUUAAAUCAAAUGUCAACAUUGACUUCGAAUUCCUCACAAAUUCAUCAAAAACACAGCUAAGCUGAACACCCUUUAUGUAGUAAGAUUUAUAUUUUAAUUGGAUACAUUAAACAAGAAUCAUGUAGAAAUGUCCCCAUACUACUACUUAAUUAUUAAAUACUACAUUCUCUAGGGGGAAAAUCUUACUCACUAAAAAAACAAAGCCAAAAAUAAAGUUAUAAAUCACAUAAACACAAAUGUGUAUAAACAUAUACAAAGAAACAUAAGCAUACAGACAAAACAAUCCUGAAACUUAAACUUAUUUUUCUUAUGUAGCACAAUUCAACUAUUUACAAUCACAGCUACACCUCUUCUUUCACCGCCUUCUCUAGCAACCUUGUCUUGAACUGUUGUGAAAAAUAUGGAAUAGUCCAAUCUCACCUAAAAACAGGGGUGUUUGGGUGAAUCUAUGAGCUGAAGAUGGGUCUUUUUACAAUUGAUACUCUCCUGUUCAGAAUUUUUUAGUACAGAUAGAAAUAAAAUACAUUCAACUAUUCUGA